AUUGCAUAAGAGCUUUUUCUUUUUUUGACACUUUUUGUUUAUAAACAUUUUAGUUUCCCAAAACAAGAACAUGAAAGUGAGGUGUAGGGAUGACACUUCUAACAUUAACAUGCAUACAUCAGCUGUUUUUAUUUAGUACUGUCACCGUUUGUAAAGUCUGUCCAUUUUCUCCAGCGUCUUUUUCCCAGCUCCUCCUGGAGCUGCAGGGUGAAAGUCAUCUGUUCCAUCAGUCUAAUGUUUUCUACAAAAAUUGCAUAAGAGUUUUGAUGUGAUUGGUAGGAAAUAUUACUGGUGUAAGGUGAUGGCAAAUGGGGGUGAGUUCAGCUGCUGCUGUAGCAACAUCUGGAGGUUCAGAUAGUUGGAAAAUAUCAAUAUAUGGCAUCAUAAGAUGGAUCCAUCUUGGAAUCAAAGAUUCAACUAUUUCUGAGUAAGUCUAUGAAUGUGGGCCAGGUAGGGAAAGAAAGGAGACAAACCCUUACAAGUAUUUAUUUUAACAUCAUGGAAUAGUACUCACAUGCAUCUGUUAUUCAAGUAGGAACAAAUGUGCAAUGUUACUGGUCUGUCAGAAGAAAAAAAACAGCAGUGCGGUGUGUUGAGAACAUGUUUAGAUGUAUCAUGGGGAGCAUAGGAUCUUUAUUCUUAUUUUCUUUUUUGUUUAAUUUCUUGGUGGUUUACUCUAAAUGUUCUUAUCUGCAUAUUUUUCGAAGCAUACAGCUGUUCAAUAGCAACAAACUAAGCUCCAGAUUUAAUGCUAGCCUCUCUGCUACCUUUAUGCUAAAUGUUGUACAGUAAGUUAAUAUUAAUGGUGUUAGUCUCUGAUUGGUUCCACACCAACAAAGACCUCAACUCCAAAAUGAAGCAAACCACGAGUAUCUUAAGGUACACUGCACUUCUCUCUAAUCGUCAGUCAUUGAGCCAGUCUCAUUCAUUUCAUGUGGACCCUCUUAUAAGAGUCUAUCUGUAAAUUUGUCUUCCAUUAAUCAGAUCUCAGGUCCAUUUGAAAGCUAUGAUAUCUGCCGUGUUGUGCUUUGUUUGACAGGUCUGUAUGACAGCUCAUUCACCUGCCAAGUCAGAAUUUGAAAGUUUCUGUUUAAUAAAAUAAUAAUAAUAACAAUGAUUAUAAUAAUAUUUUUUCCCUUGACUCCAACACAGUUUCUGCCAACAACACUGUAGCAUUCCCUUUGUUACACAGUGCGUAAUUAAGUUUACUUACUUAGCAUUAGCUCACUCAUGACCCCUCACAUACGGCCUUGAGCCCCCUCUCUCCUGCACCUCUGGCUCCAAGAAGCCAACAUGGAAAUAAUCAAGUACAUCAUAUACCUCAUAACAUCAAUUCACCAACCAAUAAAAAAGCAAAACAAAAGCAAAACAAAAAAACAAAGACAGCCAGAGGGAAAACACCAGGCCACAUCCUAUUUCCUCCAUCCAUUAAUUAAAUACAUCUAAGCUGCAAAAGUAAGUGAUGUUGUUUUUUUUUUUGUUUUUUUUUAGCGUUGACCAGUGAUAGUCCACAUGUCUUGCUUCCCUCCCUGCUAGCAUUAUGAUUCCCAUUCUACGCCUCAGUUAGUUCUCUCCAAGUGAGGUAGUGUUUUCCCUUUAUCUUUCUUCUUUUUUUUUUCUUUUUGUUCGGUAAUUGGCAUUGUUAAGUUGAGGCAAUGUUUAAAUACAUGCUAUAAGUGUAGUUUAGUUCCAUGAAAUGAAACACACUUCAUCCAUAAUAAGUGGGUUCAGUGUGACUGUCGCAUUGUGAAUGCUCUUAUCUGCUUAUUUUUCAUUCUGUUUUCGGUGCAAAAGCUCUAUAAAACCGACUGAGUGAAACCUGCCCCAGUUUUAGCCUCCCUACUAGCUCUCUUUUGUACGCUUUAUGCCACGAGGUUAACUUCAGUUGUGUUGGUAUUUUACCCCUGUCUUUGUUUUUUUUGUUUUGUUUUUUUUACAGUAAUUGGCUCCCCUAAGUUGAAGUAAGGGCCAUGUACAUGUUUUCAGUAGAGAUCUAUAAGAUCCAACAGGAUCUAUCUGGAUUUAGCGAGGCAGAGUUAAUGCAACUUCCCAGUUUCCAGCCAUCCCUCAGAGUCUUUGAGUAGCAGGUUUUCAUUUUUCUUUGGGGAAGGGUUAAGACAGCUAAAAUGCUGAGUACAUACUGAAAGGAAUAUUUCAGUGUUGUGUUUGCAGGUUAUUAUGCAUUCCUGUUAAAUAUAUGGCCUGUAUAAGUGUAAAGUAAACAACCGACCUCUAACACAGGCCUGUUCAACCUGCAGCAGAUAGGCCUGAUCCAGCCCUUUGAAACUUUCUGUGACCCACAAAAAGCUGCCCAUACAACAGGGUGGAGUCUAAUGUGA